AUUAAAAGCCGAACGUUCAAGUAUAGUUCAAGGCUAAAGAGAACCCAAACAAACUAUUGUUUUGAUUACUUUAUCGGUCGAAAAAUUUCUUAGAAUUCCGAAGGCAGCUUAUUGCGAAUAUUUAUAUGUCGAGUACUAUUGAUCUCAAUGUCAGUAUAUCUUUAACAGAAGAUAGACUUACACGUACGAAAAGUUGGGAAUCGUCAAAAAUGUACGACUUAUUUCUCUAAAAGAAAAAGAAGAAGGAAGAAAAAGAGGAGGAGAAGACAAAGAAUAGACAGUGGGCAGCAUUGACCUAUAUAAAUUCUCAGAAGAAGUAUUAGCCUACUGACUUAUAUAAUUUCUUGGAAAAAAUCUCUGCUUUCAAUAUCAAGGAUAUGCCGCAUAAUCUCAUCGUUCCAAUCAUCUUCUACUAUCACCAACGACGGCGGUAUCUUCUCAGGAUCGUUCUUCUUACUCGACGAUAUCG